AACUGAAUGUUAAUAAUAUUCAAUAAUAAUAACUUAUUCUUUUUUAUUUCUUUGGUUGAACAGCCAGAACCACUUGACACCGAGAUACUGGCAGGGUCCUGCAAAAGGGAUGCAUUUACAAAGAACUUUGAAACAGGCAUAAAAAUGAUCUCCUAUUACAAUGUGAUGACCGACGUUGACCAUCUCCUCGAAGCGAAAUACCAUUUUCACGGCGAGAAGUUUGUGGACGGGAAAGUGCUCAUAAUCAAAGAGAAAUUGGCAGAUGCGCGAAAGAUGCUUGGAACAAUUUUGCAUACUUUACAGGAUUUCUACAGCCACAGUAACUGGAUAGAGCUUGGAAACACUGAACCCUGUACUGCCCUCAUCAAUUCAGACGAGAACAUACCCAGCCCUGCAAGUAAGUGUGUGUGUGUGUGUGUGUGUGUGUGUGUGUGUGGAGCCCUGAAAGAUACUAGUAAUUGUAAAACAGAAGAUGGUAGGAAAAUACUUUUGCAUUCUCUCGAGAAACUUUACGUUUCGUUUGCAUAUUCUCCCCCCAGAGCCAAACCAAGAAACCUGUGAGUGUCCAACUAAAAACUGUGAGGGAAACAUUCUGCAGAACAUUACUGACGAAAAGAUUCUGACUUCAGGAUACUUCGGAAUAAAACAGAAACCAAAAGGUAACUUUCAGAUUUGAUGGAGCAUCAGGAAAUAUACAGAUAUGAGCUAAAUUUAGUACAGUAUGAGUCGUCAUGAUGCUUAUUUUUAUUUCUUGACAGGGAAAUGUAGCCACUGAAGUCCUGGAGACAUCACAGCUGGGCUCAUGAAAAGCCUGGAUGGAAUCAAUAAGGAUGCCAGUGAUUCCAGCCAUGGUUCAUGCAUAAUAAAGCUGCAGACGUUGCCAUUGAUGCCAGUGUGCAGCUGCUGGAGAAGAUCUGGAAGAAUAAUGAUGACGCUAACUUCUUCACAUGGGGGAUUAACUCAUUCUAAAAUGUCAAAAGUACACUUUUUAUGAGCCAAAAAAAAAAAAAUCUGCUGAAAUCCAACGCAUUAGCAUCACAUUAACUGUCCAACAAAAUACAGAAGAAUUUACAUGAUAGUUUGAAUGUGAACAUUUAAGUGUCUCUGCAGCCAAUAAUUCACCAUCAACUCUUUCUUUCUCUCUCUCUCAGACUGAUGGGGCUUCAUAUGGAAAAGCUAGAGGGCAAAUGGAAAACUCGUUUGUCUUUGUUUAAUUUCAAAUCAAGAUAUUCA
rnacentral:lncRNA from 12 species